AUUAAGAACAAACAGCCAGAUACAACUUUUGGCUCCUUCUUCCAUAAAAGAAAAAAUGAUGUAAGCCCAAGAUAUAAGAAAUCCAAAAACAAUCGCAACGGAAUUUAAAAGUAAAAAAGGAAUCAUGACUUUAAAUUUGUUCUGAAAUAAAAGCAUUCAAUGAAAAAAGAUAAAAACAUCCAUAAAUAAUACCACUGAUAAAGUUGAUUACUAUGACAUACCAAGAAAAUAUGAAACCCAUCACCAGGCAAACACAUUUUAUAAUAAGAGAUUAUUCAGAACGAUGUAAGCUAAGUUGUGUUGUCGAAUGUCUUCUGAAAAAAUGUAUUUAAUAUCAACUGCAUCUCUGGAACGUUCGAUUGAAUUUUUAAUAUCGUCGUUUCUACACUAAUCGUUUUUUUCUAAUGAUCAAGAUAAUGAAAAAUAAAACGAUCUAUAAUUUUAAUAUUAAUAUUCUAAUACGUCAA